rnacentral:snoRNA from 12 species
AGGACUAUACUUCACAGAAUCAUUUUUGUAGUCAGUCUUCUUUUACUUUAAAUGCAAAGUAGAGUAACCUUUACUAGUAGUAGUAGUAGAAAGGU